rnacentral:rRNA from 1 species
UACGAAGGGUGCAAACGUUGCUCGGAAUUAUUGGGCGUAAAGCGCACGUAGGCGGCUUAGCAAGUCGGAAGUGAAAUCCCACGGCUCAACCAUGGAAGUGCUUUCGAAACUGCUGAGCUUGAGUACGAAAGAGGAUCGCGGAAUUCCCGGUGUAGAGGUGAAAUUCGUAGAUAUCGGGAGGAACACCAGUGGCGAAGGCGGCGAUCUGGGUCGAUACUGACGCUGAGGAGCGAAAGCGUGGGGAGCGAACAGG